CCCCCCUUAGUUUAGUGGCUUAGAACACUCGGCUGUAGACCGAGGAAUCCCCGGUUCGAAAAUAAGGGCAGUCUGCCCUUAACCAACCCCGACCCUUCGGGGCGACGAAAGUCCGGGAGGGGGGA
rnacentral:tRNA from 1 species